CUACAUUACCUUCAUUUACCCAUACUCUGUCCCCCUACACAGACUGUAUCUGGAGAUGUCAGCAAGACAAGCUGUGCUCCAAGUGGUGAUCAAAGUAUGAUAUUUGACCAUUUAUUUUCUCUCCCACCUGCCAUGGGAGCUGGUGACACAGUGACAGCAACAAGGGACAUUUUCCACUUUGCUGCUGGGCAGGACUUGGUGCACAGUGGCUCUGUGAGAUGCAACUUAAGGAACUGAGGGAGAAGAAAACAUCUUUAACAUCAAGGAUGUGAACAAACCCUCUUCAAAUGUAUAUCUAUGGUCUUUUUAUGACCUCCUCUAGAACUGAGUAAGCCUCAUUGAUCGCUGCAGCUUCCGCCUGUGGGGAGGCAGCCUUAUUAAAAAGCAAUGACUCAAGCCCUCUGCUUAGAGGGGGAAUUAGGAUGUGCCGUGUGAAAUACUACCAGGGCAACUUUCCUGUCUGUUGUGGCAAGUGAUCCAGGGCGAGGCACCUCUGCUCUCAGUUUGGGUGUUCCUGGAAAACUUAAUGGGAAAAGUUAUACCUGUGGGAAGUUGUUUUUUACUCAGACCAAGCAAGGAAGCCUUGCCGAGCAAAACAGGAAAUCUGCUGGCAGCAAACAGCAUCAACCCCACAUCUUCCCUCCUUGCAAUGCUUUAGAUCAGCUGCCAGAGUGGACUGGGUUACAACCACAAACAGAAGAGCUGAAGGUCUACACCAUCCCUUGCCCUGGAGCUGUCCAGUCUGUCCCCACAUGCUGCUCACAGCCUCCAAAAGUGCCAGUUCCACAAGUCCUGAAUUACCCCAAAUAUCCACCAACACCAUUGUGUUUAUAGGUUUCACUAUCCUCAGGUGCUCCAAAAAACAGCUGAUAAAGAGUGAGCUAGGAGGACAAGGUCACUUUAGGACAACCCAAACAAAUCAGCUCCCCAACUUCCAUUCUUUCCCCCUCAUUGUCAUUGACUGCACAAAUACAACUGUUUUCUUCUUCUUGUCUCCUCUCACACAUAUGCUCCCCCUUGCUCUGCCGUUUUUUAAUAAAAAUGGCAUGAGAAGCACGGCAGAAGAUAAUGAAGAGAAUUCCUGCCUGGCUCUGCAGUUGGAGAGAGGAGGGGUGGGAUGCUGUAAACACAAGGAGGACGUCAAAAAUCCCGAAUUGCGCCGGGCUGUUAUUUCAGCUGUGGCCCAAGCUCUCCCUGU